rnacentral:rRNA from 1 species
UACGUAGGAGGCGAGCGUUGUCCGGAUUCACUGGGCGUAAAGGGCGCGUAGGCGGCGGCUUGAGUCCCUGCGUGAAAUCUCUGGGCUCAACUCAGAGUCUGCUGGGGAAACUGCCGGGCUUGAGUGUGGGAGAGGAGAGUGGAAUUCCCGGUGUAGCGGUGAAAUGCGCAGAUAUCAGGAGGAACACCAAUGGCGAAGGCAGCUCGCUGGAACGGUACUGACGCUGAGGCGCGAAAGCGUGGGGAGCAAACAGG